GUUUUAGUAGUUUAAAAAGAAUUUAUCGUUGAAGGUGGUAAGGUAUAUGGUUAAUAUUUCUAAAACA
rnacentral:tRNA from 1 species